rnacentral:rRNA from 1 species
GACGAACGCUGGCGGCGUGCCUAAUACAUGCAAGUCGAACGCAGUGGGGACGGGUGAGUAACACGUGGGUAACCUCCCAUCAGAGGGGAUAACCCUUGGAAACAGGUGCUAAACCGAUACUGAUGGAUGGACCCGCGGUGCAUUAGCUAGUUGGUGAGGUAACGGCUCACCAAGGCCACGAUGCAUAGCCGGCCUGAGAGGAUGAUCAGCCACACUGGGACUGAGACACGGCCCAGACUCCUACGGGAGGCAGCAGUAGGGAAUCUUCGACAAUGGGCGAAAGUCUGACCGAGCAACGCCGCGUGAGUGAAGAAGGUUUUCGGAUCGUAAAGCUCUGUUGUUAGAGAGGCGUUAUCUAACCAGAAAGCCACGGCUAACUACGUGCCAGCCGCCGCGGUAAUAC